GGACACAAAGCAAAACGGCUUCCAACUGACAACCCAGCAAGAAGACUGCAGCCUGCCACCCUCCUUGUUCUUGCCAAAUGGAGCCCUGGCAAGGGCAAGACCUGGCAGCACCAGCCUCUGGGAAGGUCAUCACCAGCCGUUCCUCUUCCCACUGUAGCAGCAGCAGCCAUCAGACCACUCCUGCUAGCCCUCUUUGCUGCGUGUGCAGUGACUAACCCUCAAGGAGCAGAGAGCCAAAGAGCACUCAAGAUAACUGAUGGCAUGAAACCCUGGAAGCAAACCUGGUUGACAUGAGAAGCCUGCUGCUGUGGGUGGUUGCCAGGAGAGCCAUAGCCAUAUCCUUUGCGACUGGAGCUGAAUGCUGUGACUUCACAUGAAGGCUACUCCUUGCCUGGGUCUGGCCAUGGGGACAAAGCCACCAGCACAGCUCACCAGGGAGCACUGCCUCCCUGCCAGACCAUCCUCUUAGCUUGGUCCUGGGUGACCAAUAAAUGGGACGGGGACACUGCCAGUGUCAUAACCUCUCUGUCAGGAUUUCAAAACAGGGUUUGGAUUUAGAAAGUCCUUCUGAAUUACUGUAUACCUCAGUCACAACCUUUGACACCACAUUUAAUGGUUUUGGGGCUUUUCUUAAGGGGAGCAGACUCUAUGUGAUUGGUGAACGGUCUCUACCACUCUUGUGAGAAAUUUCUGGUCAAUACAGCUGCUCACUCAUUGCUGACCAUCACCUGUGGCUGAGUAUUUGGGGAGCUGGUGAAGAGGGUUCCCCUGUUUUUUUAGAAAAUACACAAACCCACCACUGCUGAGAAAGAACACUCACACUGGACAGUUCCAGAGACCGGCUACAAAGAGAGAUAUGUGGUCAAUUUUUUGCCUCAGGUUAGUCUUCUGUAUAACAUGUAACUGAAAUGGACCCCAGCAGCACACAAAAGCAGGCUGCCAAUUUGCCUUUCAUCUAGUGCUAAAGGCGGCAUGCUGGUGCCACUGGAUGACAUUCAGAGCUGAAUAUCAUAUAGGGACAGACGACUCAAGGACAAACUAAGGCAGGAAAAGAUAUUUUUAACCCAUCAGGUUGCAGGACUCCUUUCCAUUGUGUAAGAUGGUUUUGUCAUUCCACUUAGCAGUUAUAAUAUCAUUCCCAUAAUGUAGGUGUGAAAUAUGCAGUCUUCAUCCUGUUGAUUCCAUGUUGCCAGAACACCCCGAGAGGCUGAUGGCAGCCUGUUAGGGUAAUAUCCAUAAUCCAUCAAUCACUGAACCAUUGCCCAGUAACUACAGGGUGGAUUAUGAACUGUCAAAAAGCAACCAGCAAUGCCCUAGCCAGCAACUAAGCCCCAUAGAGCUGCUUGCUCCCCCCCCCACCCCAAGUGGGAUGGAGGACAGAAUCGGAAGAGUAAAAGUGAGAAAACUCAUGGACUGAGAGAUAAAGACAGUUUAACAAGUAAAGCAAAAGCCAUGCAUGCAAGCGAAGUAAAAUAUAUUUACCACUUCCCAUGGGCAGGCAGGUGUUCAGCCAUCUCCAGGGAAGCAGGGCUCUGUCAUGUGUAACUGUUCUUUGGGAAUACAAAUGCCAUAACUCUGAAAACGUCCCCCCCCCUCCCUUCUUCUUCCCCCCACUUUAUAUGCUGAGCAUGACAUCAUAUGGUAUGGGAUGUCCCUUUAGUCAGUUGGGGCCAGCUGCCCCCCCUCCCAGCUUCUAGUGCACCCCCAGCCUGCUCACUGCUGGGGUGCUGUGAGAAGCAGAAAAGGCCUUGGCUCUGGGUAAGCACUGCUCAGUGGUAACAAAAACAUCGCUGUGUUAUCAGCAUUGUUUCCAGCACAAGCCCAAAACAUAGCCCCAUACUAGCUACUAUGAAGAAAAUUAACUCUGUCCCAGGCAAAACCAGCACAAGAACCAACCUAGAAGAUGCUUCUAAUUUUCCAUUAACUCUAGCCUCCAUUUUAACUUAAAUUUUCCAUCAGGGAACCCAGAUGUACCCAUUCCUUCAUGCAAGUUUUGCUUCAUCUGUCUUCAAGAAAUUAAUUCUUCGUAUACAAACCUUGAUAAUUGAAUUUUAAAUGUAAAAGUUGAGGAAAAGUGAACACAAGAUGUAUUGUAAUCCAAAAGGAUUUUGUCAUGUGGAUGUGGCCUGCUCAUGUGUUUGCUUUGUUACUUACUGCUAAACCAUGCACAGAAGAGCAUUAUCUGGCAGAUGUUCUUAUAAAACACAAACUUCAAAAGCAAUACAGUGUAAAUAAUGAAGAUACUAAUAUUGUUUUUGGACUGCAUUGGUGAAGAAUUUCACCAUCUUCUCAGAAAAGAGCAUUAGUAUAGAUGAAAGCCUGUGCCAGGAGGGAGAACUAUGGUAAUAUAUAGCAAGGAGCAGUGGCCCCGUGACCAGGUCAACACAUCCGUCCCUCUCAGCAAGCUCCCAAGCAUAUGGCUCCCGAGCAGGAGCCCCCACCUAUGUCAGGUGUCUAAAUGUCCCACACGAGGUGUUCAACACCUCUGAACAGGAGCACACUGUACUGGUGGGGAGCUGCAGGUAGGAGUCUGAAGGAAAUACUGGAAAUGUAACUGCACCUUCUUCCCCUUGGUCUCAAACCAAGGCUCUAGUCCCAUGCUUGUCUCACACGGCUGCAUAGUCAAGCAGCAAAACAGGGAAGGGCACACUACUGUCUUUUUGAACUCAGCAUUAGUAAUUUUUUGCUUACUAACCUAGUGACUGGAGCAUUUGAUCACUUCGUCUGGAUACAAGCCCCUCAAGUCUUACAAACUCUUCUACCUGCAAUAACCAUACCCCAGUCAUCCACCUGGCAGAGGAACAGCUCAUCUUCAGGAUGCAAGAGGCUGAUGAGAAAGUGAAGGGAGAAACAAUUCCCAGCCUUCCUUCUGACGAUCUUCUGCCUAAAAAUGGAACAAAAUAUAAAAACUACUUAUGUGAGAUGUGUAGAUAAUUGUGUGUGUUUUCAUCUACAUGUGAAAGACAUAAUUUUUGUGUAUGUAAAUAAACACACACCUAUAGUUAUUCAU